UACGAAGGGGGCUAGCGUUGUUCGGAAUUACUGGGCGUAAAGGGCGCGUAGGCGGUGUGUCAAGUCAGGCGUGAAAGCCCCGGGCUCAACCUGGGAAUUGCAUUCGAGACUGCAUUGCUGGAGUACGGAAGAGGAAGGCGGAAUUCCCGGUGUAGCGGUGAAAUGCGUAGAUAUCGGGAGGAACAUCAGUGGCGAAGGCGGCCUUCUGGUCCAGUACUGACACUCAAGUGCGAAAGCGUGGGGAGCAAACAGG
rnacentral:rRNA from 1 species